GCGGCGGCGGUGUUCAUUGUUUGCCAGCGCUCCCCGGCGCCGGUGCGGGACCAAGCCGUUGGACGCUUCAGAAGCAGAGGUGGGUGCCAAAUUGACUCGAUGGUUCAGAGCCGAGGUGGCUGCCAAAUUGAACUACACUCUCUUCUUGAUGGGUCUCUGAUGGAUGUGGCGGUUCUGGACUAAACCAUGGAGACAUCUCCUUCCGCAUUGAAAUGUAUCUUUCUUUUCCUUUUAGAUCCAAGGAUGUGAUUUAAAAGUUAAAACCCGACACUUUCUAUCAGUGUAGGACAGUAUGAGACAAUCUAAUGCCUAU